CCCAUGAAGCCUUCUGGGGCCUCCCAGGUGAAACCGAGGAGGACCCCAUGGGGCUGCUGGGCAUGGAAGCCUUUUGGCCCCCCGUUUCUUGUAGGCAAGACUCCAGCCUCCAUGACCUCCCCUGAGUGCCAAAGGGAAGGUUCGAACAGCUGCUAAUCAAGGGAGGAGCGGCCAAGAAACCACCGGAGGCGGAGGCGAGAUCACAGGGACCCGAGAAGCUCAGCAAGGCCUCGAGAAGCUCAUCAAGGAGGCCCACGCCUGAGACCCCGAGGCCCCUCAUCUUGUCAGCAGCCCCGCCCUUGGGAGAAGGUGAGUCACAACUUAAAGAGAAAACAAGCCACGAUCCUGCUGCGGAAGCUUCCCGCGUCGGGAUGCAGUGGGAGGCUUGGGGUCCUGUCCAGCCCUGGCAGGCCAGGUGUGAAGAGCUUGGGUUCUGGAGUUCGUGAUUUGGUGGACGUGCCGGCCCUGCCACUGCCUGGGCUUCCCUGGUGGCGCAGUGGUUGGGAAUCAGCCUACCAAUGUAGGGG